rnacentral:rRNA from 1 species
AGCGCAGGCGGAAGGACAAGUUGGAAGUGAAACCCACGGGCUCAACCCGUGAACUGCUUUCAAAACUGUUUUUCUUGAGUGGUGUAGAGGUAGGCGGAAUUCCCGGUGUAGCGGUGGAAUGCGUAGAUAUCGGGAGGAACACCAGUGGCGAAGGCGGCCUACUGGGCACUAACUGACGCUGAGGCUCGAAAGCAUGGGUAGCAAACA